rnacentral:rRNA from 1 species
CGGACGGGUGAGUAACACGUGGAUAACCUACCUAUAAGACUGGGAUAACUUCGGGAAACCGGAGCUAAUACCGGAUAAUAUUUUGAACCGCAUGGUUCAAAAGUGAAAGACGGUCUUGCUGUCACUUAUAGAUGGAUCCUCGCUGCAUUAGCUAGUUGGUAAGGUAACGGCUUACCAAGGCAACGAUGCAUAGCCGACCUGAGAGGGUGAUCGGCCACACUGGAACUGAGACACGGUCCAG